ACUCCUACGGGAGGCAGCAGUGGGGAAUAUUGCACAAUGGGCGCAAGCCUGAUGCAGCAACGCCGCGUGAGCGAUGAAGGCCUUCGGGUCGUAAAGCUCUGUCCUCAAGGAAGAAUAAAUGACGGUACUUGAGGAGGAAGCCCCGGCUAACUACGUGCCAGCAGCCGCGGUAAUACGUAGGGGCAAGCGUUAUCCGGAAUCACUGGGCGUAAAGGGUGCGUAGGCGGUUUUCAAGUCAGAAGUGAAAGGCUAUGGCUCAACCAUAGUAAGCUUUUGAAACUGUUAAACUUGAGUGCAGGAGAGGAAAAGUGGAAUUCCUAGUGUAGAGGUGAAAUCCGUAGAUAUUAGGAGGAACACCAGUGGCGAAGGCGACUUUCUGGACUGUAACUGACGCUGAGGCACGAAAGCGUGGGAGCGAACAGGAUUAGAUACCCUGGUAGCACAGAG
rnacentral:rRNA from 1 species